GGACGGUAGCACAGAGAGCUUGCUCUUGGGUGACGAGUGGCGGACGGGUGAGUAAUGUCUGGGGAUCUGCCCGAUAGAGGGGAAUAACCACUGGAAACGGUGGCUAAUACCGCAUAACGUCGCAAGACCAAAGAGGGGGACCUUCGGGCCUCUCACUAUCGGAUGAACCCAGAUGGGAUUAGCUAGUAGGCGGGGUAAUGGCCCACCUAGGCGACGAUCCCUAGCUGGUCUGAGAGGAUGACCAGCCACACUGGAACUGAGACACGGUCCAGACUCCUACGGGAGGCAGCAGUGGGGAAUAUUGCACAAUGGGCGCAAGCCUGAUGCAGCCAUGCCGCGUGUAUGAAGAAGGCCUUCGGGUUGUAAAGUACUUUCAGCGGGGAGGAAGGCGAUGCGGUUAAUAACCGCGUCGAUUGACGUUACCCGCAGAAGAAGCACCGGCUAACUCCGUGCCAGCAGCCGCGGUAAUACGGAGGGUGCAAGCGUUAAUCGGAAUUACUGGGCGUAAAGCGCACGCAGGCGGUCUGUUAAGUCAGAUGUGAAAUCCCCGGGCUUAACCUGGGAACUGCAUUUGAAACUGGCAGGCUUGAGUCUUGUAGAGGGGGGUAGAAUUCCAGGUGUAGCGGUGAAAUGCGUAGAGAUCUGGAGGAAUACCGGUGGCGAAGGCGGCCCCCUGGACAAAGACUGACGCUCAGGUGCGAAAGCGUGGGGAGCAAACAGGAUUAGAUACCCUGGUAGUCCACGCCGUAAACGAUGUCGACUUGGAGGUUGUUCCCUUGAGGAGUGGCUUCCGGAGCUAACGCGUUAAGUCGACCGCCUGGGGAGUACGGCCGCAAGGUUAAAACUCAAAUGAAUUGACGGGGGCCCGCACAAGCGGUGGAGCAUGUGGUUUAAUUCGAUGCAACGCGAAGAACCUUACCUACUCUUGACAUCCAGCGAACUUUCCAGAGAUGGAUUGGUGCCUUCGGGAACGCUGAGACAGGUGCUGCAUGGCUGUCGUCAGCUCGUGUUGUGAAAUGUU
rnacentral:rRNA from 1 species